UACGAAGGUGGCAAGCGUUGUUCGGAUUUACUGGGCGUACAGGGAGCGUAGGCGGUUGGAUAAGCCCUCCGUGAAAUCUCCAGGCUUAACCUGGAAGUGCAGAGGGGACUGUUCAGCUAGAGGAUGGGAGAGGAGCGCGGAAUUCCCGGUGUAGCGGUGAAAUGCGUAGAGAUCGGGAGGAAGGCCGGUGGCGAAGGCGGCGCUCUGGAACAUUACUGACACUGAACCGCGAAAGCUAGGG
rnacentral:rRNA from 1 species